CAUUAAGUGGCUGAAAAGUAUUAAGCAGUGGUCUCUUAAACCAUAUUAUAGUAAAUUACAUAUACUCUUAAUGA
rnacentral:tRNA from 1 species